CUGGAGACUCCUGGAAAAGGUUUCUAAGUGAAAUCCAUGGCUUUAUAAUACAUUGCUUGGAGGGGAGGUUCAGCCCUCUGGGUGGUAGAGUGUCCACAGCCUUGCCCUGCCCAGGACAGAGCUGCUUGGCUUGCUGGUAGUAGAGCAGUGCUCAGGGAUCUCAGUCUUUCCCAGUGAACAGAAGGGCUUUUGCCACCCAGCCUCUCCAUGAGAAGGAUCUUGCUGGCUGGGCCAUAGUGCUUCCUCACCAGCACUGCCAUGGCUAGCAGAGCCAGGCCCAUGUGACAACAACAGGGAAUACAGGUAUUCAGUAACAUCAGAAGGCUGCUAGUGAAACCAAAGGGAGUAAGUUUUCUAUCAGCAAUAUGGUGACAAUAGCAGUAAGCAUAUGUGGGCCUUCCAUUAGGACAUCUUUGAGAGCCAUGAGUGGCAUUCAGUUAACUUUCCUGACUGGGAAUUUGCUGAGGUGGAAUUUCACUGUGGCAUUAUUUCCAUCUACGUCUUUAAAUCCUCAGGUGAACGUAAUAUAUUUGUACUGGAUGAUAAGCAGUAGUGAUUUUUGAAAACCAUCGUGGUGCAAAGGUAUUCCCUGGAAGAAGUCACCCUGCUCCUUCCUUGGGAGCCUGAGAGCCCCUAUGCUGUGGGCCUCUCUAGGCCUCAUCCCCAGAGAGGACAGAGAUGCCUAGAUCACACUGCCAGGUUUUGCCUUUCUCCUGCAAGCACUGCUGACAUGCCAGACAGCUGAAGAAGGAGGUGUGAGCUUGGGUCAGCCUGUGAACUGAAGGUGGAAAUAUGGAAAUAAUGGUGUUGGCUUGCCUCAAGAGCAACCUCAGAGACUAAAACUUACCAAAAGGAUUCUCAGGCUGCUGAAAAAUCAGACCAUAUGUCUGAGAGCAAUCCAGACGUUAUUGAACUCCAGGAAGCCUGGUGCCAUGACCUACUUCCCUGGGGUGGCUGUUCCAGUGCACAACCACACUCUCAGUGAAGAACCUUUUUCUGAUAUCCAGCCUGAACCUCCCCCAUCACAACUUCACACCAUUCCCUCGGAUUCUAUCACUCGUUGAAAGAGAGAGAUCAGUGCCUGCUGCUCCACUACCCCUUGUGAGGAAGUCAUAGGUCUCCACUCCAUUGGAUUUCAGCCAUUCCUCAUACUUCUUUUCCUUUAGACCCUUCAUCAUCGUUGUAGCCCUCCUCUGGAUGCUUUUUUUAUUUUAAUGUCAUUUCUGUACUGUGGCACCCAAAACUGUACCCAGUGCUCAAGGUGAGGCCACACCAGUGCAGUGUAGAGCAGCAGUCGCAUCACUCAGACAGUGUCAUGCUUGAAGUGCCCUGAUGGCUUUCUUUGCUUUUUGGGCAAACUCAUGUUCACUUGCUGUUGACCAAGACUCCAAAAUCUAUUUCAGUAGGGCUGCUCUCAAGCAUCUCAUCCUCCAGUCCAUAUGUACUGCCAAGGUUGCCCCUUCCUGGAUGAAGAACCCAGCAUUUGCUCUUGUUAAACUCCAUGUGGUUGGUGAUUGCCCAACUCUCUAAUUUGUCUAGAUCUCUCUGCAAGGCCUCUCCACCCUCAAUGGAGUCAGCAGCUCCUCCCAGUUUAGUAUUAUCAGCAAACUUGCUCAGAACACAUUCUAGUCCUACAUCCAGUCAUUUAUGAAAACUCUAAAGUGAGCUAUCCCUAAAAUGGAGCCCUGGGGACCUUUGCCUAGUGACCAGCUGCCAAUCUCAUGCAAAUCCAUUUACUACAACCCUUUAGGCUCAAGCCAUCUGCCAAUUACUCACCCACUGCAGUAUGUUUUGUCUAGCCAUAUGCUGGACACUUUGUCCAGAAGGCUACUGUGAGGUACCAGAGCACUUCAUCAGAGUAGAAGACAAG